rnacentral:rRNA from 1 species
AUUGAACGCUGGCGGCAGGCCUAACACAUGCAAGUCGAGCGAGCGGCGGACGGGUGAGUAAUGUAUGGGGACUGCCCGAUAGAGGGGGAUAACUACUGGAAACGGUGGCUAAUACCGCAUACUAUCGGAUAACCCAUAUGGGAUUAGCUAGUAGGUGGGGUAAAGGCUCACCUAGGCGACGAUCUCUAGCUGGUCUGAGAGGAUGAUCAGCCACACUGGGACGGAGAUACGGCCCAGACUCCUACGGAGGCAGCAGUGGGGAAUAUUCGGCAAUGGACGAAAGCCUGACGGAGCAAUGCCGCGUGUGUGAAGAAGGUUUUCGGGUCGUAAAACACUGUUGUUGGAGAGGCGGUAUCUAAAGAGAAAGCCACGGCUAACUACGUGCCAGCAGCCGCGGUAAUAC